rnacentral:lncRNA from 1 species
UAGUGAUCUGUGAGUCUUUUGUCAAGCAUUAACGCCAGAUGGUUGUGAUGCGGGCUUGCUUGGUUUGGGACUUCAAUUUGUCAUACUAAAGAUUUGCCCAGUAAAAGUUGGCUAAAAAAUUUGCUAUAGAUUUGGAAGCGAAAUAUGAGAGGUUAGCAAGUUUUGGUAACAAAGCAAAUAACAACCAAAGUAAUGGCUUUCCUUAUUUUGGAAGUGUCAAGCAGGCCUGCAGUCGCAACUCACGCCCUAACAGCCUUGAUCACUGACUGAUUCACUGGACAAUCCGGAUGUCGAUCUCGAUGGGGAAACGCGCGCAGCGAGAGAGGAAUCGUCGUCGUCUUGCCCUUGCUCCUGUCCCUGCUCCUCCUCCUCCCUCUGGGUCGUCGUCCAUCGAUUUUGGCGAGUCCCGCGCCUCCACCCCACUCUCUCAAUCUACAAGAAGUUGGUACAUCUUAUUUCAAUCUUGCAGGAUAACUGUGAUAUGUUUUUCAUAUAGCAUAUACAUUGUGUUAUCUUAGCACACUGAGCUCUGAUUACAAUGCAAUAAUUUGAUAAAUGAGGACUUAAAUACGGGCAAUGCUUUUAUCAUCUUCAUCCUUUCUUAACGGACAACUGACAAACAUCCAUGAGUGGGUUCAUCCAACGGGAGCCGCGCGGCAGCACACACUAAUUAUUUUCAUAUUUUUUAACGGAACCUGAUUAUUUUCAUAUUGAGGCAUAAUCACGGGCCAGUCCACCAAAAACAGGCUAGGUAACACACCAAUUAUUUUCGGAUGGACUCGCAUCACAGGCUGGUAACACAGGUAGGCGCGCGGCAACGCCGUGCCUAGUUUCUAGUUCAUACUAUGGCCGAAACAGCAGGCAAUCAGACAUCUGAAAACUGAACUAAGAAAUAGCAGAAUGGCAGCACAUACCCUUCACUGGAGCCCAUCGGAGACGAAUUUCUCCACCACUCAGGUAAACCAGCGGCUUGAAGACUCCAUCUUGAACCAAACUGAUGAGACGGUAGCAGCGACAGUCAGAUACGUACACGAAACACACGUUGACCGCUGUAACUUGUAAGAGCCUUUUAGGAUGUCGACGACUCUAUGGAUUUUCAUCCCAGAGAGCUUCGCAUCACACAACACCAACCAAUACCCGCAGGCUACAAAUCUUGGAUGCAGUAGGCGCCGCGUUAGUGCAUAUACUACUCGGAGUUAAGUGGGAGAUUAGGUAACAGAAAAAAGAUGUAUCCACGACCACGAGAACGGCUUUUGGUCUGCAGUCUUUCGUCAUCUGGCGGCUCUCACCCUCACACUUUUGACUGAGGCUUGACAUUUGCUCCAAACUUCUUUCAAAAAAACAUUUGCUCCAAACAAAAACAAGAAGAAAGGGGAAAAAAAGUCAGCUAACGGCGACAUGACCUUUUGAGAGUGCGAUCCAUCAGCAAAAUGAAAUGCCUCGAUCCAAAUUCCAGGCGAAGGGGAUACACGUGACUCCAGCGUGCCUACUAAGCUCCUAGCGCUUUACACGACGGAUGAGCCUGAUCCUGGCCGCCACGGAUUCUGCAGGCUCAGAAGCCCAACAACCGAAGUAUAG